GAUGAAGAACGUAGCGAAAUGCGAUAAGUAGUGUGAAUUGCAGAAUUCAGUGAAUCAUCGAAUCUUUGAACGCACAUUGCGCCCCUUGGUAUUCCAUGGGGCAUGCCUGUUCGAGCGUCAUUUGUACCUUCAAGCUUUGCUUGGUGUUGGGUGUUUGUCCCUCGGGACUCGCCUUAAAGUCAUUGGCAGCCAGUGUUUUGGUUUUGAAGCGCAGCACAAGUCGCGAUUCAAGGCUAUCCGCCCGCUUCCACAAGCCUUUUUCACUUUUGACCUCGGAUCAGGUAGGGAUACCCGCUGAACUUAAGCAUAUCAAUAAGCGGAGG
rnacentral:misc_RNA from 1 species